rnacentral:rRNA from 1 species
CGUGUAGGCGGUCUGUUAAGUCUGAUGUGAAAGCCCGGGGCUCACCCCCGGAAGUGCAUUGGAUACUGGCGGACUCGAGUCUCGGGGAGGAGGGUGGAAUUCCUGGUGUAGCGGUGAAAUGCGUAGAUACCAGGAGGAACACCGGUGGCGAAGGCGGCCCUCUGGACGAUGACUGACGCUGAGACGCGAAAGCGUGGGGAGCAAACA